GGGGGUGAACAGGGUUCGACGAGGGUGUUUGAGGUUCUGGUUGCAGGCCGAAGUCGUCCGAGCUUCGCUAAAAAACGGGCAAACCGUUAAACGCCAACACUGAGUUGGCUCUCGCGGCCUAAACAGCCGUGACGCUUGUCCCUGAACGCCGGCUACAGGGAACGAGCGCCAUUAGCCGGCUGGCCGCAUCCCGCGCGUUUCGUCGGGACCGGCGAGACCAUAACGGAGCUGGCGCAUGGGCGGUUCUGUCUAGGGACAACCCGAGCGCGAGACCAAGCCUAGGCUAAGCCUGUAGUGACCUGACCAAUGCACUCCCGGACGCGGGUUCGAUUCCCGCCACCUCCACCA
rnacentral:tmRNA from 1 species